UAAAUACUCCCUCCGUCCAGAACUACUUGUCACAGAAAUGAAUAGAAAUGGAUGUAUCUAGAACUAAAAUACAUCUAGAUAUAUCCAUCUUUCUGAGUAUUUUCGAACGGAGGGAGUAUAAG
rfam:Hordeum vulgare subsp. vulgare, WGS project CAJW01000000 data, contig: morex_contig_1974047